rnacentral:rRNA from 1 species
CAACAGGGAUUGCCUCAGUAACGGCGAGUGAAGCGGCAACAGCUCAAAUUUGAAAUCUGGCUCCCUCGGGGUCCGAGUUGUAAUUUGUAGAAGAUGCUUCGGGUGUGGCCCCGGUCUAAGUUCCUUGGAACAGGACGUCACAGAGGGUGAGAAUCCCGUAUGUGACCGGUGGCCUCCCCCGUGUGAAGCUCUUUCGACGAGUCGAGUUGUUUGGGAAUGCAGCUCAAAAUGGGUGGUAAAUUUCAUCUAAAGCUAAAUAUUGGCCAGAGACCGAUAGCGCACAAGUAGAGUGAUCGAAAGAUGAAAAGCACUUUGGAAAGAGGGUUAAACAGUACGUGAAAUUGUUGAAAGGGAAGCGCUUGCAACCAGACUUGCGCGCGGUCGAUCAUCCGGGGUUCUCCCCGGUGCACUCGGCCGCGCGCAGGCCAGCAUCGGUUUGGGCGGCCGGACAAAGGCCUCGGGAAUGUGGCUCCUUCGGGAGUGUUAUAGCCCGAGGUGCAAUGCGGCCAGCCCGGACCGAGGACCGCGCUUCGGCUAGGAUGCUGGCGUAAUGGUUGUAAGCGGCCCGUCUUGAAACACGGACCAAGGAGUCUAACAUCUAUGCGAGUGUUUGGGUGGCAAACCCAUCCGCGUAAUGAAAGUGAACGGAGGUGAGAACCCUUAAGGGCGCAUCAUCGACCGAUCCAGAUGUCUUCGGAUGGAUUUGAGUAAGAGCAUAGCUGUUGGGACCCGAAAGAUGGUGAACUAUGCCUGAUAGGGUGAAGCCAGAGGAAACUCUGGUGGAGCUCGCAGCGGGUCUGACGUGCAAUCG